GUUCAGAAGUGUGCUGUUCCCAUGUGGGCGAUCUGGCUGCGACAUCUGUCACCCCAUUGAUCGCCAGGGUUGAUUCGGCUGAUCUGGCCGGCUAGGCGUGUGUCCCCCUCCUCCCUCACCGCUCCAUGUGCUUCCCUCCCGAAGCUGUGCGCUUGGUCGAAGAGGACGACCUUCCCCGAUAGAGGAGGACCGUUCUUCGGUCAAGGGUAUACGAGUAGCUGCGCUCCCCUGCUAGAACCUCCAAACAAGCUCUCAAGGUCCAUUUGUAGGAGAACGUAGGGUAGUCAAGCUUCCAAGACUC